GCUCCCGGACUCUGGUUUCACUUUGGGGAGGAGGUCUCAGUUCGGGCGCUGUUUGAACAACUGCCCAGGCGGUCCUAGUGUGCAGGCAGGCUUGAGCCGCACUGAGCUGGAGGCAGCUCUUCCCACCAGGCCGGCCCUCGCAUACCAGGCGCCCCGCCCAGGCCUGGGGCAGCCCGCUGUGGCUGCAGGCCCCGCCCUCUCCCACAGGAUGGGGCAGCGGCCAGGGGCAGGCAGCUCUGCUCCCCAGCACUGGGGCUGGGGGAGACUGGCUAAGGCAGGGGUCUGGGAAAGCCUCUCUGAGAGGUGGUGUUUAGUCUGCUCCCUCAUCCCCAGGAGCUAAAAGAAGCCGGGCAUUGACCAGGAAGGACCAUCCACGUAGGGCUGGAGUAGGAUGACCAACUGCCCCGGCUUGCCUGGGACUGUGCUAAAACCAGGGCGGUCCUGGGCAGGCCUGGAUGAGCUGGUGCCACGAGAGCCUGGAGCCACAGGACAGGAGGGAGCGCGGGGUGAGGUGGGGCUGGAGGGAGGCAGGGAUUUCAGCAUUUUAUUCUCCGUGCUGGGGGCUGGGACACUCCCCUUUGGCUGCCUGCAGGAGGGCUUAGAGAAUGUGGCCACUUGGGUUUCAGGGAGCAGGUGAGCCUUUGGGUCUGAGAGGAGAGAACCUGGGAGGGAGCGCCUCUCUCCUCUGAUUGGGGGCCUGCAUCCUGAGCUGCCCGGCUGCUCGGGGUCCAUUAGCCCUCUGUCUUCAUUAUUUAGGGCCACGACUUACCUUUCAUUCAACAAAGCCAGAACGGGGCUGCCACCAUAAAUGCGUCUGCAAUGGGGCCCGGGCGGCUGGCAGGGCCUCCUCGGAGGCCCAUCAGCCUCGGGGAGCGGACGGUAACGAUCAUUUACAUUAAUUAGGCAGCUGGAUAAUAGGGUGUUCAAUAGUUAUUGCAGCCUUUAAAUCCUACAGCAAAUGCCGCCAGGAGCCCGGAGCUGGCAGGGGUUCCCACCUUGCAAAACCCAGUCCUGUCCUCACCUUGGCAGGCAAGGGGGCUUGAAAUUCAGGAGGAAAGGGAGCUUUCCUUGAGUUCUAGAAGAAUAGCUGAUUUCCAGAAGAAUAGCCUAUCCGCGUGACCCACCGUGAACUAACCUCACUUGGCCAGCGCACGGGCGCCCAGUGCUGAGGUUCCACCGAGAGCAUGGCCACAGAGCGCACAGCUGUGACAAGCGACAGGCCUCGCGUCUGGAAGAUGAGACCCUACACUGUGGGAACUCUCCGAGCUUUCUGGUGACAGCUACCACACAGUAAACUCAGUUCGCUGGUUUAUUCAUGAUGCUUGUUUUAUGGUGAAGACCGGGAGGCCCUGAGAGGGGUGGCUGGCCUUGGGUCACAGAGCCAAGCCGCGUCAGGGCCCCCUGGAGGCGUGCCCACAGCACUGCCCAUCCCAGGCCCAGCUUUGCCAGCCUCCUCACUUCUGGCUUCCCGAGGGCUCCUUCUUUCUCCGCCUCCCCUGCACCCCGCCCCCCGCUCCCGCUCCCUGCCCCCCUGCCUACUCCUCUUUGCUCUGAGAAGACCUGGGCUGCACCUCCUCCUGCCCCCUGGGCCCGCUGCCUUGCUCCCAGCCCCUCUGUCACUGCCUGGCUCUCCCAGCUGGGCUCUGGCCUUACAGGCCUCUUGGCUGUGAGUGGAGGCUCGGGGGCCUUGAGAAGCCAGGCCUUGUUUGUGGGGUGCUGUGGGCAGUGCUCAAACCUGUUUCUGUGCGUCCCUGACACCAGCACUGGUGUUGGGGUCUAGGCCUCCUGCUGGCCUCCCAGCCCUGGCUCUGGCCCCUCUGGCUCAUCUUCCUGACCCCACUUCCCCUGCCCUGCCCUGCCCUGUGCCUGAAGCCUCCAGCCCAAGCCAGCCCACACCCCCCAGGUCCAACUUACCCUCUGGUUCCUCAGCAGGACGUCCCUUUCCCUGGCUGACCCCAGCUCAGCCCUCUGGCCUCAUCUGAAGGUCAGCUCCCAAGGUAGGCAGCUUCACCUUCAGACCUGCCAGGUGCCCCGGCAUGGGCCCCACCCAACCCUGCAGUCCCCAUGGCCCCUGUCCCCAGCACUCACUGUCUAUCUCCCCUGCUAGAUUGGCAGCCUCAUGUGGGUGGGGACCAGAAGGUCUGUGGCAACCACACCUAGUGACAGUGUGGCUGCCCUCUGGGUCCCUAGAGGUCCAGGGCAGAGAAAGAGCCAGUAUUUUGAGAGGUGGGGGAAAUGCUAACAUUGUGAGUUUGGUGACAUGCUGCAUUUCUUAGGACUUCCGAUUUCCUUGUUUUAAUUCCGUGAUUCUUGGGCAAGAGCUGUUAGGGUGACCCAGGCUUAUGGUUCCGAACAAGGCUGCGUGGAAGAUGCUGAGCCUUCAGACACUUAUCAAGCGCCACUUACAGACUUAUCCGCAGAAAGAACACGACCCUAAGUGCACAGUCCUGUGAGCUCUCAGCCAGCAAAUGCGCUCGCGUUUCCAGCCCCCAGCCUGUGUGCAGAGUCACAUCUCCUGUGGGCUGCGUGCCACACACAGCACGUCAGCCCAGAUGGUGCCGUCCAGUCUCCUGGGGAAGGCGUUGCAGACAGACCCCCUCCCUCAGGAGGGCGCGCUCCCGGGGCUGGAACUGCCAUUGCUGCUCCUGCCCGCAGAGGAGCUGACUCGUGUUUAGGGCGGGAGCGUGCUGGAAUAAGCUGGAAUAAGCCCUGAAUUGUAGCGUGGUUUAAGUCCCCCAGGGUGGCCGGGUGCGAGGUGCCGACAUGGGCGGCACAUCAGGAAGCGAUGUGCACACUGGUGGGCGCCUCCAGCACACCCCCGGCUUAGGGCCUGUGUGAUUAUGAGCAGCUCACAGUCAGACACUUUUGGGGAGACAAGGGCAGCUAAGGAUGCUGUCCCUGUCCCCCACUGCAAGGCAAGCUUCCACUGAAGGGACGGGCAGGCGUGGCAGGCCAUCUGCGAUGUCGUGUCCCUCCCUCCCCGUCUUCUGGCACAGGGGCCAUUCAAUUUGUGUGGAUUCAGUGACCUACCACAACGCCACGCUCCCUGUGUUCACGUCCUUUGUGGUGGAACCUAAAGGUUAAGAGUGAGGUGGGCCUUGGACUCAGGUUUCCUGACGAAGUCUCCUGACUGGCUUCUUUAGCUCGGCCUCUCCCGGAGGGUCGCCAGCACCAACCCCCCAGUCCCCACGGCACUGGGGUCCAUUGGGCAAAGCUGGAAAGGGCAGAGAAGGGCCGGCACGCUCGCUCUGUGUCACAGCUGUCUGGGGAGUGUAAGCUCAUCCGGCUGAGUGGCCAAGAAGGGCAGGGCCCAGUGACGCCCGCAGGGCUGCCUGGGGCACUUGCCAGUCCGGAGGACAGGCAGGCUGUGGGCCUCAGGACACAGUGCUGCUCUGCUGUGCACAAGCCACGGCGAUGGGGCUUGUCUGGGCCAAAUGGGGGUCACUGGUCGGCGUCAUGCCUGCUGUGCGUGCCAACCCUUAUCCAUCAUUAGGGCCACACCCUUGGCUGAUUGUUUUUUUUUCGUCAGACAACAAAUAUUUAACUGAACACAUUAUGUGCAGGCAGUGGUCUAGACUGCACAGAGGUGACAAUGGUGACAAUGGCCAAGAAGACAGGCCAAGUCCCGGCAUGCGUUAGAACUGACAUUCUAUUGGAGGAAAAUGACCAAGCAGAUGAGAUUCUGUUAGCUCCCAAGAGGCGCUGCUGGAAUGGGGACGGGCAUGCGAUGGAGGGCCUGGGCUGAGGCCUCCAGAGCUGCGGUGGGAGGGGCUGCCCUGUGCUUGGUGGGGAGGGAGCGAGCGGCAGCUGCGGCUCUGCAGAAGCAAGGCGGUGCAGGCCGGGGAGGUGCUGGCUCAGGAUGCGGGGCCCUUGAUGACCCGGGUCGGGGACCAGCUGUAACUCUAAGUGCGCUGGAACGUCACGUGUGGGUUUUGAGCAGAAGACACGAUCUGAGUCACGCUUCAUACAGGUCACCUCGGCAGUGGCGGGCCACACAUGAUGGGGGGUGCAGGGGAGCAGGGGCUGCGGUGGCUGAGACGAGAUGGUGGGAGGGUAGUGAGUAUUGGAGUGGGACACAGUGAGAGGGCUGGAGGGGGAGCCAGCAGGACUCAGUGAAACUUGGGACGGGUGCGUGAACUCAGAGGACUCCAGGAUGACCCCCGGUUUCUAGCUUAAGUGACUGACGGAGACACGGUUCACUGAGGUGGGCUGGAGGGGGAGGGGGCUUGUGGGGGAAAGGCAAUAGCUCUACUUGCAGCCACAUCAGGUCGGGACGCCAUGAGAUGUCCAGGUGGAGAUGUCACCGGGCCUGUUUUCAUCCCUCAACAAAUAUUCACAUCCAGAAAGCGGCAUCCCGAGAGUCCCAAAUCCUAAAUCAUAGUCCAGAUGUCAGAGCUGGAAGAGACUUUAGACCCAUCUGGAGCCCACGGUCCUCGCACACCAUGAGUGGAGGAGCCAGCUGGGGUGUUGGAGAACCACGGCGCCUCCUCCCUGAGUCUGACUGCAGCCCAGGUCUGACCGCUUUCUACACGCAUCCUGCUGACUCUGAUCCAGGAAGUCCCAGAGUCCCACUUAGGACACCCUGCUCUAGUCUCACAGCCCCGCUUGACAGAUGGACAUUGAGGCCCCAAAAGACUCCAGGACUGGGUGACUGGACCAGCAGAAUUCCACAUCCUGCCCACGGGUUAGAACUUUUCUAGCAGCUCCUGCCAUCUCUCCAUUUCCACUAACGAGCUGGGCGUCUCCUAUGGGUUUGCGACCAGCAGCCAUGGCCCCGCAGCCCUUCCCCCCUUUCUCCUGCUGGCCCUGAGCCCAGGGGGCAGAUGACUUCCUGGGUCCUCCAGGAUGGCACUGCAGGCCCCUGCCCUGAGCCUGAGUGUAACCACACUCUUCACAUCCCAGCCCUGCCCAGAUCCAGAACCCCCUCCUCCAAGGAAUCUCCCUUGACCACUCUGCCCACCUGUGUGCACAGGUCCUCCCCCAACCAGACUUUGCCUGGCCCCACUGGAAGGGCAAGGGGAGUUCAGCUGGUUGCAGGAAUGAAAGGGAACCUGGCAACCCCAGGGCUCCUGGUACUGGAGGGAGCAGCUGGACCUCAGUCCCUGUCUGAGCAAUCAUGGAACCCAGUGAUGCUGAGAGCUCAGGGUCUAGCAGCUGGGCUGGUUGACCAGGCUAAUGGUCCAAGCACCCCAUACUGGGGUGUGGGAAGGCAAGGGCAGUGGCUGAGGAUGGGGGCCAGACUGGGCACUAGAGCCUUUCUGGGGGGCCACAACAAGUCUGGGGGACAGCUCCAUGGUUGUAUGGACUGAAUUAUGUCCCCCUUUGAAUUCCUGUGUUGAAGCCCUAACCCUCAAUAUGCCUGGACUUGGAGACAGGGUCUUUAAGGAGGUAAUUACAGUUAAAUGAGGUCACGAAGGUGGGGCCCUGAUCCCAUAGCACUGGUAUCCUUACAAGAGGAGGAGAGACACCAGAGAGCUCUCUCCCCACAAGUGUGCACAGAGGAAGGCCACGUGAGGACACAGUGAGGUGGCCAAGGAUAAAGCUCUCAGCUGACACCAACUCUGAUGGCACCUGAAUCUUGGAUUUCCAGCCUCCAGAACGGUGAGAAAUGCCCAGUGAGGAAGCCGCCCACUGGCAGUGUUGUGGCGCCAGCCCUGGCCACCAGCGCUCUGGCCACGACCUCGGCUGCCCUCCCUCCAGGUGCUUCGGCCUCCUCCCCCGGAGGCUCUGGCCCUGCCACUGUGUCCUCCAGAGUCGGACCCAGGGAAUUAAGGGUCACAAGCCCACUAACUCUGCGAGACAGCAGGUCACUGGGCUGAGGUCUCCUGGUCCCAUAGCCUCCUGUGCCCCGUCCGAGGUUGGCCACUCUGCUGCUCCAUGAGCCUCUUGGGCCCAGGUUUCUCCAGUGCACGGUUUCCCCAUGAGGCAGACUUAGCUGUGUCUCACACUUGCCUGCAUGCCCAAGGGCCCAGCUAUACUGGGGUCUUGCCCCUGGGCAGUGAAGAUGGAAGUCCCACACUGCCUUCUAAGACAAGCCCCGAACCGCCGUGGGGACAGGGCCAGCCCUGACCCAUCUCCCCUGGCAUCCGGCCUUGUGCUGGGCAGCAGCUAGUGCAGCUUCAUCAGGGGCACACUUAGAGCCAGUGCGCUGCCUGGCCUGGGCCUCCUCGUCCCUUCCUGCCCAGGGAUGGCGUGGCCCUUGGGGCACAGCACCCAGUGACCGCAGGGUGGGCAUCCUGGGAACAGGCAGGCAGGCACAGCAGCAGCUGCAUGGCAGGCGAGCGUUCUUGCCCAGUCUCCUUGGGGAGCGGGAGAGAAGUCUACAGAUUCAACAGCCACUCACGGAGACUUGAGUCUGCGCCAAGUGAAAAACAGAUUUCACAUGGCAAGUGGUACCAACAACUUUUCUGGAAAGCGACUGUAUAUUUACACAAUAUUGGCCGCCUUUUGCACUGCGGAGGGGUUGGCAAGAGCAGUGUGGUUAGAAGUUACAGCACCUAUGCUGUUACCAAUGUGGCACUUUCAGACGGCCGGAAGAACAGAAGCCACUUUACAUGGAAGACAGAUUUCCUCGGUGGGAACCACGCUAUACACUUUAGAACAGUGUCCGCUCAUCCUUGCGGGCAUCCUCUAGUCAAAAGCCCGGCUCUGGAGCCAGACCAUGGGCUUCAAAUCCAGCUCUACUUCUCUCAGCUGGGGAGGUCCUGGGCAAAGGAGAGCUUUGAAUGUGAGUCUCCUUGUAGCAAAACAAGUAUGUCACACCCAGGGCUGUUGUUGGCCCCGGCUGCCCAGCCCAAAGCAGUGCUGGGACUCGAGCUCCGCACCACAGGCAGCGAUGGAUAGCCUGGGAGAGCAUGGAAUGAAGCCAGCUGACACCCGUCCUGGAGAGUGAGGGAUACCUCACACACCGGGGGUGGGGUCGGGCUGCCAGGCCCAGUCCCUGUGAGACUCUGGGCUCAUUCAGCCUUGGAGGCGCAGUGGCAGAGCUGGGCCUCCCGCCCUCCUGUCCUAAGUCAGGGUUACAUUGCCCUUCUCCGCCACUGCGUUCCUCCUCCACGGCGGACUCCGCCUGGGCAAUACCAAGAAAGCCAAGCCUCUAGCACUGCGGCUUCUCCUGCUGGGAAGGAAAACCAUGUGCACUGGCUGCCAGCUUGCCGCCAGGAACGCUCCUGCGCUCACCCUGCUGCUGGGCAAAUACUCGCUUCUGAAAGGAAAGGGGCACUGGGUCCUUCUGAGCCCUGUGGCUCCUCUAACACCAGACGCUAGAGGCUGGCCCGGCCAGUCCUCACUCGGUCCCUGCCCGCAAGGGCCUCACCCACUGGCCUGCAGGCACACCACCAUGCAAGGUUGGGGCAGACGAAGCGCCAAGCCUUUCGGCUGCAAAAAUGGAACGGAAAUGUCAACUGAGCCCACUGCUGGGGACGCUGGCUCUUCCGGUUGGUGAGGCCUUGGCAAGUGUGGCGGUCUCCGCUUCCUCUCAGCCUACCUUCCGCUGGAGCCUCCCAGACUCAGAGCGAGAGGGCUGCUGCGGGUGAAGCCCCCGCCCGGGACAGUCACUAAUAAGCACAGCCAGCCCUGGUAUUGGCUUUUGUGCUCAUCCCAGUGCCAAUUCCCGGGGAGAGCGAGCCCCAGGUGACUUAGCAACUUCCCCGUUCCCUCCUCUUCAGCGUUCCUGAAACACCAACGCAAACCUUGGUCAGGGAGAGUUCACAGCAGGCCCGAUCUAAGGGCAUGUGUCAGAGACGCUCUGCACCACGGGACCAUGGAACGCGGCAGCUGAUGGCAGGCGUCACAGAGCACAGGGAACACAGUCCAGGCGCAGCCUCGGGGCUCCCCGUCCCUUCCCACUUGGCUGAGCCACAGGAAUUGUUUACGCCCCCAUGUGUAUUUUAUUAUGACACAAACAACUGAUUUAGCACAGGGCAUUCAGACAACACAGAAAAGUAGGAAGAAGAACUAAAAA